CAACGAGUCCCUGAAAAAUCCCGACAUACAAAUUCGGGUGUUUCAGGGAAUCGUUA
rnacentral:pre_miRNA from 1 species